AGUGAGCGCUGGCGGUAGGCCUAACACAUGCAAGUCGAACGGCAGCACAGGAGAGCUUGCUCUCUGGGUGGCGAGUGGCGGACGGGUGAGGAAUACAUCGGAAUCUACUCUGUCGUGGGGGAUAACGUAGGGAAACUUACGCUAAUACCGCAUACGACCUACGGGUGAAAGCAGGGGAUCUUCGGACCUUGCGCGAUUGAAUGAGCCGAUGUCGGAUUAGCUUGUUAGCGGGGUAAAGGCCCACCGAGGCGACGAGCCGUAGCUGGGCUGAGAGGAUGAUCAGCCACACUGGAACUGAGACACGGUCCAGACUCCUACGGGAGGCAGCAGUGGGGAAUAUUGGACAAUGGGCGCAAGCCUGAUCCAGCCAUACCGCGUGGGUGAAGAAGGCCUUCGGGUUGUAAAGCCCUUUUGUUGGGAAAGAAAUCCAGCUGGCUAAUACCCGGUUGGGAUGACGGUACCCAAAGAAUAAGCACCGGCUAACUUCGUGCCAGCCGCCGCAGUAA
rnacentral:rRNA from 1 species